rnacentral:rRNA from 1 species
CAGAGGGUGCAAGCGUUGUUCGGAAUUACUGGGCGUAAAGCGCGCGCAGGCGGUCCUUUAAGUCUACCCGUGAAAUGCCGGAGCUCAACUCCGUGCACGCCGGGGAUACUGGAGGACUAGAGACGAGUAGAGGCAAGCGGAAUUCCGGGUGUAGCGGUGGAAUGCGUAGAGAUCCGGAAGAACACCGGAGGCGAAGGCGGCUUGCUGGGCUUGGUCUGACGCUGAGGCGCGAAAGCGUGGGGAGCGAACAGGAUU